rnacentral:rRNA from 1 species
AGCCAACUCUAGCCCAACCACAUAACUAAAAUGUCAAUUAAAAAUCUACUUAAUUCCUAAAACUAAAACAUUCUUUAAACUUAGUAUGGGCGAUAGAAAAGACAUUUUGGCGCGAUAGAGAUUUCGUACCGUAAGGGAAAGGUGAAAUAGUAAUGAAAAACAAAGCAACAAAUAGCAAAGAUAAGCCCUUGUACCUUUUGCAUCAUGAUUUAGCAAGAACAACCAAGCAAAACGAAUUUAAGCUUGCCACCCCGAAACCCGAGCGAGCUACUUGCGAGCAGCUAUUCAUGAGCGAACCCGUCUCUGUUGCAAAAGAGUGGGAUGACUUGCUAGUAGAGGUGAAAAGCCAACCGAGCCGGGUGAUAGCUGGUUGCCUGUGAAAUGAAUCUAAGUUCUCUCUUGAUUUUACUUUCCCGGAUACAAUUUUAACCCUAAUGUAAACAAAUCAAGAUUAAUUUAAAGGGGGUACAGCUCCUUUAAAAAAGAAAACAAUCUCUGCUAGCGGAUAACUACUCAACCCCCCCCAACCGUGGGCCUUCAAGCAGCCAUCAACAAAGAGUGCGUCACAGCUCUACAUACAAAAAAUUUAAGAAACAAAACGAGUCCCUUUCCACUAACGGGCUAACCUAUGUUAAUAGGAGAAUUAAUGCUAAAAUGAGUAACUAGGGAUUUCCUCCCUCCCAAGCGCAAACUUACAUCCUCACAUUAUUAACAGACCAUAAACUAAUAUCCUAAGUCUAACAAGAUUACAAUAUUAACCUCACUCUGUUACCCCGACUCAGGUGCGCCUGCUAGAAAGAUUAAAAUCUGUAAAAGGAACUAGGCAAAUCCCAAGGCCCGACUGUUUACCAAAAACAUAGCCUUCAGCCAACCAAGUAUUGAAGGUGAUGCCUGCCCAGUGACAAAAUGUUUAACGGCCGCGGUAUCCUAACCGUGCGAAGGUAGCGCAAUCAAUUGUCCCAUAAAUCGAGACUUGUAUGAAUGGCUAAACGAGGUCUUAACUGUCUCUUACAGAUAAUCAGUGAAAUUGAUCUCCCUGUUCAAAAGCAGGGAUAACUCCAUAAGACGAGAAGACCCUGUGGAACUUAAAAAUCAACAGCCACUGCCUAUAAACCUAAACCUAACAGGCCCACGACUACCAAAAUGCUGGCUGACAUUUUUCGGUUGGGGCGACCUUGGAGAAAAACAAACCCUCCAAAAAUAGGACCACACCUCUUAACCAAGAACAACCCCUCAACGUACUAACAGUAACCAGACCCAAUAUAAUUGAUAAAUGGACCAAGCUACCCCAGGGAUAACAGCGCAAUCUCCUCUAAGAGCUCACAUCGACGAGGAGGUUUACGACCUCGAUGUUGGAUCAGGACAUCCUAAUGGUGCAACCGCUAUUAAGGGUUCGUUUGUUCAACGAUUAACAGUCCUACGUGAUCUGAGUUCAGACCGGAGCAAUCCAGGUCGGUUUCUAUCUAUGACGAACUUCUCCUAGUACGAAAGGACCGGAGAAGUGGGGCCAAUACUACAAGCACGCCUCCUCUUUAAGUAAUGAAUUCAACUAAAUUACUAAAAGACCUCCACCUCCUAUAUCCUAGAAAAGGAUCA